CUGUGGGUCCACACCGGCUCAUGUCGGCGCCGGCUGUGUCUGCCCGGGUAUCCUGAGGCCUGUGGCUGAAACGAGGCCAGGUGGAAGAAAGAUAAAAGAUCCUGGACCAUGGGUGCUGCCUCCAGCUUCCAGUCUAUGUCAUGGGGUCUCAAUAAAUUGUUCAUGCUGGACUUCAAUUUUUGACCUUGUGAUCCUCCUGCCUCAGCCUCAUGAGUAGCUAGGAUUACAGGUAUGUGCCAUUGCACCCAACUCCUACCUCUCCACUUUUGAUAUGUUACCCUAGUUGACCUCCCAUCUUCCUAUCUCCUGUAUCUGGCAGUCAUUUUCAGUAGAGCCGAAGUACCCAGAACAGUUCUACAACUUUUCCCCACUCCCUUGUAACUGUACCCCUCUGAUGUGAGCAGGACAAAAGCCAUCCCAUGAUUCUGUAUGGUUUCAGACUUUGAGUCUAAACUAGCUUGUGAGCAGUGUGAUAACCAUACAACCUGUGUGCCUGUGUGAUAACUUGUGAGGGAGCCAUAUGGUGUGAUAACCACAUGGUCUAUGUGCCAAACUUAUCUUGUGAACCCCUUUAGAGAAACCUAUAAAAAAUAUGUUUUAUGAAAAUUUUUUACCAUAAAGAAAAACAUUGUUUGUACCAAACUCCCCAUAGCAUAAAAGACAAAACAGUCUUCUGGUGCAAUGCUUGUGGACUUUGCCUUGGGAACUGCUCUUCACAGAGCUGCCACUGGCUUGAGCUCCGCAACUGUCUGUGACUGCGUCAUUCUGCUUGUCUGAGAUGCCCCGUUUGACUCCUGGCCUGUACUAGUCUGUGGAUCACUGUGAGUCCCAGUGCUCAAUCUCCAGAUCACUGUGCAUUCCAGCAAUGCCAGUUCCCUCUCUGCAUCCUGCCCCAUGCUCUUAUGGCGUGGCGACCAGGUAGAGGAAAGAUGAAAGAUCUUGCACCGUGGGUGCUGCCUCCAGCUUCCAGUCUAUGUCAUGGGUAAGCUCCUUUCUCUCUUGCUGUUAAUGUGAUAAAUGCUCAAUAAACCAGUGCAUUCAGGAAAUUGCUCAACUUGACUCUUGGGAUCUUUGUGUGCAGACACAGAGGCUCCCUUUGGCUCCUCUGAGCCCCAAGGUGGCUUAACUUUUUGGCCUGAAAAGUGGCCCGUGUCCACUUGUGACACCUUAGUAUAUCCAAAAGAUGCGACUGUCUUCAUUGUCUCUCUAGCUUCAGCAAAGUUCAAAGAGGUAGGUCAAAAUUUUAGUCAGCAUUCACUCAUCAAGUGGUGGUGUUAUUUUAAAUUCUAAUUUCAUUUUUUAAUAAAUCCAUCACUAGGCCAAGUGAGGUUGGUACGUGCCUGUAAUCCUAGCUGCUGGGGAGGCUGAUUGAGGCAAGAGGGAUGCAAAUUCAAGGCUAGCCUGGGCAAUUUAGAGAGACUUUGUCUCAAAAUAAAACUUUAAAAGGGCUCAGUGUAGAAUGUAGCUCAGUGUAGAAUGCUUGCCUAAUGGGGAGGGUUUGGGUUAAAUCCUUACUACCAUAAAAACACAAAACAAAAACUCUUGCCUAAGCUGGUCCUAUAAUCCCAGGACUUGGGUGGCUGAGGCUGGAGGAUUGCUGUGAGUUGGAGGCCAGCAUAGUGAGUUCAGGGCCAUCCUGAACUACAAAGUGAGACCUUGUCUCAAAAAACAAACAAGCUUUUGACUAAACCAGAGGAUGGAGGGUAGUAGAGCUACUGGCCCUGCUCCACAAGAUUGUCUUAAGGAGGACAGUUCUGUCCUAUCUAUUUCAGGGUCAAAUUCUAGACAAAUCAUAAUUUUUUAAAACUGUUACAUUGUUUCUAAGUUAUUUUGGGGAAAGUUGUCUUUCCAUGUUACUAUCUACUUUUAAAACAUCAACAUUAAAGUGUGAAAAGAUUAAGAGUUAUUUAGAAUUCUGGAGGAUUCAGAGGUAAGAAAAGUAAAGUACACAUUUUAUUCAUAGAAAAGCACUAGUAGAAAUUAAUUCAGGAAAGUAAGGCUAUUUGUCACCAUGAGGAAAAAUGGAAUGGUAAGUCUGUAAUUAUACACUGUGUCAUCUUUUUCAACAGAGAUUUUGUUAGUAGACCCUGAGUUCAUCCAUUCUGAAAGGAAAUCCAGUGAUAACGUUAUUUGUCUACUGUUUCAAUACAGCCAAGCUUCAAAUGACAACUGAAGAGAAAAAAACAGAAUUACCAAUGGCUUCCCUGAGGCUGCUAAAGUAUUAUAUUCCUGAGGUUUAAAUUGUUCUCAUUCUUAAGCUGGGCAUGGUGGUGCACCCCUGUGAUCCCAGCAUUCUGGAGGCUGAGGCAGGAGGAUCACUGUGAAUGCAAAGCCAACCUGUGCUACGUAGUGAAUUCAAGGCCAGCCUGGACUGCAUAGAGAAACCCUGUCUUAAAAAACUUUUUUUCUGUAGCAGAAAUCAUUGAGUAUUUGAUUUUAUGCAUGAAGUGUUUGUAUAGUUAAGUGACUGUUUUCCAUUUAGUCCUGUGGCAGUUAUAUGACCAUACACAUGCUGGUGGGCUACUCUCCUCGCUAGAAAGAGAAUCACUCUGAAAAUAAGUUAUGAUUAACAAUUAGGCGUAUGUUAUUUGGUAAAUCUGGUAGCACUACCCUGGGUGCUUUGCUGCUGGGCAUGCUGAGAAUUAGUCCUGAGUGGGCAAAUAUAAUUUUCUCAACAGUAAAAGGUAAUCUGCCUGGUCCCCUUGCAGCAUCUUGAGAUCAUAAGGUUUAAAAUCCUUUGACUAGUCACCCAAGUAUCCCAAAGUUCAGACUCAUCUUUGUUGUUAGUAUCCUCUUCUUCCUGCUUCCUUAGGCCCCCUAACCCAAUCCAGGGCCUUGCACAUGCUUCACUACUGAACUAUCCAUAGACCCUUAUUUCUGCUUUAUUCUGUUUAAGCACUGAAUCCUAUUGGUCCUUCUCUGAUGGUAAAUAUUGAUUGACAACUCAAUUGGCUUGAGAAAGGCCUAGAUUAGCAAAACACAUGUCUGGGUGAGUUUGGGUGGAUCAUGGGGACAUGACCCUGGGGACUAUGUCUGGUCCCUGGCUCCUUCCUCCGAGGCUCUUGCCCUGCUCUCUGCUUCCUGGAUGCUAUGAGUUGAGAAGCUUUCACCUUCCGUGCCCUCCCACCAUGAUGUUUCUGCCUUGGAGCCAGCUGAGCAUGGACACCUCUAAAACUGUGAGACCAAAUAACUUUUUUCCUUUAAAUUGUGUGUGUCAUAUUUAGCGCCAGCAGCAGCAAAACUGACCAAUAUACCUUUCUUAAAGAAAGGAAAUUAUACUUGAAUCUUCCUGUUCUGUUUGUCUUCACAGCUACCUACUGUAUCUGCUGUUACCUGGUACCUGGAUCAUCACAGUAGCUUCCCAAAUGGGAGGCUCCUGCUGUAAUUUGACUUGAGAGUAACCUUCAAAGGCCCAGGUAUUAAAAGUUUGGCCAC